UUUGAGUGGCAGUUAUGCAUUGGCAGUGGAUAGAAUGGUUAAUGAAUUAACUUUUAGUUAUUGGAAUUUUCAUAUAUGGAGCUUGAAACAUCUAUUCGAUUCACAUGGGUCGUCAUUGUUUCAACUUGUAUAUAAAUUGCAUGACCUUAGAGAGAGCUGUUUAAGCUUUGUCAUUGAUUUGAGGUUGGAGAGAGAUUAUGGAAGCCAAAAUGAUGAAAGCAUCUCUCUCACUUGCAAUUAUAGUGCUUGUGCUCUACAAUCCAAUGAAUCCCUGUAGAGCUAUGUCAAUGCAAAUCAACACCAGCCGCACCUCAUCACUCAUCGCCGAGGAUGAGGAGUUGGAGUUCCUGAUGGGUUCUCAUAGCGGUAGAAUCCUCGCCAGAACUGAUGGACCUGGGACUAAUGCAGUAUACAAACCAUUUAAACCGACUGUAAAUUGUGGUAGAGCUAGGCCUUACAUAUCCUGCCUUCCCAACCCAAACGGAGUCAAGAUAGCAGACACGAGGGCGACUUACAAGCGUCAGUGAGGAUGCUAGAACACACUGUGACUUACCACCCUGGAUGCAUUGCUGAAGCGUCAUCGAUCAUUUUCCGAAGGCAACUUUCCCAUGGCGAAACUUCAUUCUACUCAUUAACAAAACGAUAUAAAUCAGUUAAUGUAGGUUAAGAAAUAAUGCAAAUGUUGGGGUUUUCCUUUUUUAAUAUUAACACUAUAAUGAACAUCAUGUGAUGAUCUGAUGGUUACGGUGUUCACUGUUCUAAAUGUAAUUUAGAUUUAAACCUUGUUUGUUGUUCGGAUUUUACCUUAUUCUUGUAAUUCAUCAAAAAAAAAUUUAACGCUUCAAUAAAUUUACAGUGAAGUAGAUGCUUGUAUAGUUAAA